GGGUAUGGCUGUUCGCCAUUUAAAGUGGUACGCGAGCUGGGUUCAGAACGUCGUGAGACAGUUUGGUCCCUAUCUGCGGUGGGCGCUGGAGAUUUGAGAGGAUCUGUCCUUAGUACGAGAGGACCGGGAUGGACGUACCUCUGGUGUUCCGGUUGUCACGCCAGUGGCAUUGCCGGGUAGCCAAGUACGGUCGGGAUAACCGCUGAAAGCAUCUAAGCGGGAAACCCACCUCAAGAUGAGAUCUCCCGGGAGUUUAACUCCCCUAAAGGUUCGUCGAAGACCACGACGUUGAUAGGCAGGGUGUGUAAGCGCCGUAAGGCGUUGAGCUAACCUGUACUAAUUGGCCGUGCGGCUUGACCAU
rnacentral:ncRNA from 1 species